AACGAACGCUGGCGGCAUGCCUAACACAUGCAAGUCGAACGAGGCCUUCGGGUCUAGUGGCGCACGGGUUCGUAACGCGUGGGAACCUGCCCUUAGGUUCGGAAUAACUCCCCGAAAGGGGUGCUAAUACCGGAUAAUGUCUUCGGACCAAAGAUUUAUCGCCUUUGGAUGGGCCCUCGUUGGAUUAGCUAGUUGGUAGGGUAAAAGCCUACCAAGGCGACGAUCCAUAGCUGGUUUGAGAGGAUGAUCAGCCACACUGGGACUGAGACACGGCCCAGACUCCUACGGGAGGCAGCAGUGGGGAAUAUUGGACAAUGGGCGAAAGCCUGAUCCAGCAAUGCCGCGUGAGUGAUGAAGGCCUUAGGGUUGUAAAGCUCUUUUACCCGGGAUGAUAAUGACAGUACCGGGAGAAUAAGCUCCGGCUAACUACGUG
rnacentral:rRNA from 1 species